rnacentral:rRNA from 1 species
UGGGGAAUAUUGCACAAUGGGCGCAAGCCUGAUGCAGCCAUGCCGCGUGUAUGAAGAAGGCCUUCGGGUUGUAAAGUACUUUCAGCGAGGAGGAAGGCGUUGUGGUUAAUAACCGCAGCGAUUGACGUUACUCGCAGAAGAAGCACCGGCUAACUCCGUGCCAGCAGCCGCGGUAAUACGGAGGGUGCAAGCGUUAAUCGGAAUUACUGGGCGUAAAGCGCACGCAGGCGGUCUGUCAAGUCGGAUGUGAAAUCCCCGGGCUCAACCUGGGAACUGCAUCCGAAACUGGCAGGCUAGAGUCUUGUAGAGGGGGGUAGAAUUCCAGGUGUAGCGGUGAAAUGCGUAGAGAUCUGGAGGUAUACCGGUGGCGAAGGCGGCCCCCUGGACAAAGACUGACGCUCAGGUGCGAAAGCGUGGGGAGCAAACA